GCGCACACGCUCCGGAGCGAACGCAGGAAAGUCAGGCUAAAAGUGUCUGCUGCUGCUGCCGCCCCCCACUCCGCCUCCGGGAGAGAAUCCAAAGAAAUGGUGUUACCUGGCAAGAGAUCUGCUGUUUUUUAUGAAAAUUCAGAUCAAGGCUGCUGAGCUUUAGCUGACGUGGGUUCCCCCCUCUUGAAGCUUGCUGUCUG